rnacentral:rRNA from 1 species
AUGGAGCAUCUCCAGGACGGCCACUACGUGCGGGUGCGGAGCCGCGUGCACGGCACCGCCGCCUACGGCCAGUACCUCGCCGCCACGAACGUGCAGGCGCCGCAGGGCCACCACAGGCACCGCGUCGAGCAGCGGGGCUGCGACCAUCCGGAGGUGGAUCUAAUCCCUUGGCGGGCCAUCCGGACGGAAUCCGGAGACGAAGUCUACCUCGACCACUUCCACGGCGGCUGCCUCCGCGCCAACUGGAACACCGGCGUCAGCGUCAGCGUCGACGACCCCGACAACCCCAGCCCGACGACGCGCUGGGUUGUGGAGCCCAUCCCCGCCACGCGGAGCAUGCCUCGCCUUCCACUUCCACGUCCGAUUGGGCUGCACGACGAGUUGCUGUUGCGGGAAAUCACGUACGUGUGGCCGAACGUCGAGGGGGCCCUCGUCAACCAUGACGUGUUCUGCUUCAUGGGGAGGUCCGUGUUCCGGCUGAGGCACGAGCUGGCCCGGCGGCGGCUGGUGGACGUCUCUCAGCUCGCCAUGUGCCUCCCCACACGUUAUGGCCGUUUUUUCCCACUCGUCGUCGACCUGCCCCGCAACCAGGAGGCCCUCAUCGUCGUCGUCGACGUCGCGGGGACGGCUGCCCAACGAUUAGGCCCUGGCCCGCAAGCCCACCUAGUGCCGAAAGCUGAACCCGGCACCUUGAAAUACUCCGCCUUGGCGCCCGAGCGUAACCGUCCCAACCAACAGCCUUCGCUCCUCCUCUUCUCCCCAUCGCCGGAGCGCCAAGAAACCAAGAACCUCCUCUUCCCUGCAGCGGUCGAGCGCACGCGACCGAUGGAGCAGUUCCAUCACGGCCACCACAUGCGGCUGCGCAGCAGCGAGCUCGGCACGUACCUGCACGCCGACGAGGACGGGCAUGGCGUCUCCCUCCACCGCCGCCGGGCGUCGAUGAAGGCGGCUUGGGCGGUGCACUUGUACCAUCCACCCCAGGCGCAGGUGCAGUACCUACUCCUCCACAGCGCCGCCUACGGUCGCUACCUCGCCGCCACGGACGAGCCGGCGCCUCAGGGCCACCGCGGGCGCCGCGGGAUCUUCUGGCUGGCCGUCCUGACGGCGUCCGGAGACGAAGUCUUCCUCUGCAACUUCUACGGCGGCUGCCUCCGCGCCAACGGGAGGUACCGCCCCUGGAACAACGGCGCCAGUGUCGAAGACGUCGACAUCAACGACAUCGGCAGCCUCAGCACGAUGAUGCACUGGGUGGUGGAGGACAUCCCCGCCAGGGAGAUCACGCCUCUCCUUCCACCUCCGGCUUGGCUUCACCUCCCCGCCGUCAUAUCGCCGUCGCGGAUGAUCGUGUACCUGUGGCUGGACGCCGACAGGGCCGUCAUCAGCGAAGGCUCGUUCAUGUUCAGUGGGAGGUCCGUGUUCCGCCUGAGGAGCGAGCUGGUCAGGUGGCUCGCCGACAACGACAUCGCAAUCGUGGACGCCCCCGACCUCGUCAUGUGCCUCCCCACCCGUGAUGGCCGCAUUUUCCCACUCGUCGUCGACCUGCCCCGCAGCCUCCAGCCCCUCCACAUCAUCGUCGUCAUCGUCGGGACGCCUGCUCAUGCGGCGCUGCGGUACGCGGAUGUCGAUGCAGAGUAG